CCAGGCGCUGGCUGGCCGGCGUCUGGCCGCCGGCGUGGGCCUUGCCGUGGCUAACCGCCGUCUCCCUCUGCAGCUGAAGAAGAAGCCCAAGAUCAUGCAGCAGCAUCUUGAUUAUUGUUUCCCUGGUUUAUGGCUAUCCAAGAUAACUCCUCGAUCCUACAAAGCCAAUGAAUAAGGUUAGUUUUAUUUGUCCUCGAUUCUGCAAGGGUUAGAGAUCGUUGAUGAGGGUUUUAGUUCUAGAAACUAGUAAGAGCUCAGUUAAAUGAUUUUAGAUUUGCCAUUUAUUUAUUAAGAAUCGUUUCAGAUAACUCAGAGACUCUUUGACGAGAUGACUAAUCAAAAUGGUAUAUCCAAAUCUUUGCUAAGAAAUCAACACCAAGUACAUUGUUCAGGAUUUCAUUGUGAUUUCUUCAAUAAUAUGUUUUUAAUUUUUAGUUUCUAUUUUUUUUAAUGAAAUGAGAAUUGAAUUAUUUGUAGAAAAUAUUGACUUUCAUGCGUAUUAUACAUUGUGAAGGUUGUAAGGAUAGGUCAGGAAGAAGGUGCAGAAGGUUCAAGGUAAGUUGUGGGGUUCAGUUGUAUUUUAUUCGUUGUUUAAUUGGUUUAUUGUUUGGCUGGGUUCAUGUGGUACAUGGAAGCAAUAAAUAACAUAUUGUUGUAGGAGCUUUGUUGAUUCUUUGAAAAUGUGAACUCAAUUUUACUCUGUUUCAAUUAUGUUUCAUAUUCUGUUAUUUACUUGAGUUAUGCUUGUAUUGUAAUUCAAAGAAGGAAAAUGUUUGUCUGGCAAACUCUAUAUCUGAAAUGCAUAAAUUUGGAGCAAUCUAUAAUAUCAAAUGGUUCUCAUACUUUGGCACAUGAAUCCAAUGAUUUGGGUAAAAAAGAUAAAAAGAAGAAAGGAACAAAAAGAGGAAGGCACUUUGAUAGAGAUUCUCGAGCUACUAAUCCAGAGGUCUCAAUUUGGGUGAUCUCACUGUAGUUGAAGACAAUUGUAUUUGUUCACCUCUUUUCGGUAUUCCUAAGUUCAUUAAUAUGCAUUUACUGAUCUAUAUAUAUAGUUAG